rnacentral:lncRNA from 1 species
GCAACUGCAACUUUUUUUUAAAUUUUAUAGCAAUUAUGUCUUUAAAUAAAAUUGAGUUGCAAAGCACUAAUAUGUGACAGCUCAAAAAAAAAAAAAAAAAAAAGAAGCUAUCCCAGUAUGCUGCUUAUUCAGAAACAAACCUAGAGUAAGAAAACCUCAUGUUUCCACAUUGUAUUUUAAAUUUUCUUUUUAAAAUUUCUGUUUGUUUGAGUCUUUGUUUUCUCAGUGAGGCCCAUGGAGGACAGGUUAUGGGUCCCAUAUGUGGCUCACUGCUACAGCUCUGUUAGGGCAAUAGCCAAGAAAUGCAUCCCUUACUCUACUUUUUAGUUCUUAUAAAUCUAAAAAUAGAUAGCUCAGUGGGUAAAAUAAUUGCCGUGAAAACUGGCAGACCCAAGUUCGAAUCUCCAAUUUACAUAAAAGCCAGCAUGAGUGUUCAUGUCCAUAAUUUUGGUGCUUAUACAGCAAGACAGGAGACAAAGAUAAGAUAAAUCUCUGGAGGCUCACAAGCCAGCUAGACUGGUUCAUGCAGCUGUGAAGAUCAGAAACUAACAGGGUAGAAGGCCAGGUUUUCCUCUGACUUGCAUGUAGUACCCACUCAAAAAUAUAUAUGUGCACGUGUGCAUGCACACACACACACACACACACACUCACACAAAGGAGAUGGGGCAGGGAGGAACAGUUUAAAAACAUCAUGUCUUAGUUGUAGGCAGACCCAAGUUUAGAUCUACUUUGUUCCCAGACUAUUCAGGUGAAUUUUCUUUGAAGGAAUAUUUUUAUAGCUGGAGAAAGAGGUCUGUUGGAAAUGUGCUUCUUAUGAGGAUGAACAUCUGAGUUUGUUUGAUUUCUGGGACCCAUGUACAAAAUACAGCAGGAGGGAUGGUGCCUGAUUAUAAUCCCAGCACUAGGAAGACAGAGACAGGUGGAUCCCUAACACUCACUGGAAGGCUAAACUACUUGGUGAGCUUUAUUCCAGUGAGAGAUCUUAGCUUGUAAAACAAGGAGAACAGCAGCUGAGGGAUGCCUGUAGGAUCAUCACCUCACCUCCAUGUAUGGUCUAGCACACAUGCAUACGCAUAAGCAAUCUUUUUCCUUUGUUUCCUUGGCCUUAUUUUUGUUUGUUUUUGCAGACAAGACCUUACUACAUAGCUAAGAUUCUCCUCCAAGUUGCAAAUCUCACUCUGGCUUCAGAGAGCCAGGACUACAAUAUUGCUCCAUCAGACUUUUGACUGAGGCAAUACAAGUCUAAAUGUGAUAUCACACCGGUUAUGAAUUCAAUGAUGCCUUGGUGUUCCCAGGGUCCAACAAAACUUGGCAAUGAAGCGUUUUGAAAAAUAUCAGCAGCAGUGGCUGGAGAGAUGAGGCAAAAUUUAACAGCACUUGCAGCUUUUCAGAGGACCUAGAUUCUGUUCCGAGAACCUACAUGAUGCCUCAUAUCUGUCCCUAACUCCACUCUCGGGGGAUUUGAUGCCCUUUUAUGCCAUUAGGAGCACGAGGCCUGAAUGUGUAUGACAUUCAUGCAUGCAGGCUAAAUAACAUACACAUAGAAAUAAACAACCACACAAACAAAUAAACACAUAAAUCAUACAUACAUACAUAAAUAUUUUAAAACCAGAAAAAUAAUACCAGCACCCGAAGACUGUACUGUAUGAGCAAACUGGUGUUUCCGGACAGUGUUUCCUCCGUAUUAGAAUAAAUGCAGCCUAAGGAAGUAAAUUAAUCUAAGUAAGAAGUAGAUGAUCCCGUGCCAUGAUUAAAUGGAUAAUGCUAUGUGCCAAUUGCUACUGUUUAAAUAACUAGAAUUUAGUGCUGUGUCUUUCAAAUUAUUUAACUAAAUUACCUUUGUGCAUUUUAGUUAAAUUUCCCUUUUUCAUUUUGUGCUAAACUGGCUUAUCAUUGUUAUUUGAAUCUCUUCUAAAUGUUUAGUCUCGUGUUCCCAAGAUAGCCAGGAAAUUGGGCAACACUGAACCACUUUAGUAACACAGUGAAAACACACACAGAAGCCUACACAAUCGAAUUGUUAUUAUCCAGAAAGAGAUCUGUUUUCAUAAAACAUAACGAAAAUCUGUUCCCGAAGUGGAAGGAUCUCAGCCAUGUGUAUCAGGGUGUGCCUGUGCUCUCAGCCCUUGGGAGGAGGCACGAGGGAGUCAGAAGCCUAAGGCCAAUAACACUUUGUUGUAUUACAAGCUUGAGGCUCAGUAGGCUAUAGGAGAAUACU